GAAUAUUGGACAAUGGGCGAAAGCCUGAUCCAGCCAUGCCGCGUGUGUGAAGAAGGUCUUCGGAUUGUAAAGCACUUUAAGUUGGGAGGCAGGGCAGUAAGCGAAUACCUUGCUGUUUUGACGUUACCGACAGACUAAGCACCGGCUGACUCUGUGCCCGAAUCCGCGGUAAUACCGAGGGUGCAAGCGUUAAACGGAAUUACUGGGCGUAAAGCGCGCGUAGGUGGUUCGUUAAGUUGGAUGUGAAAUCACCGGGCUCAACCUGGGAACUGCAUCCAAAACUGGCGAGCUAGAGUAGGGCAGAGGGUGGUGGAAUUUCCUGUGUAGCGGUGAAAUGCGUAGAUAUAGGAAGGAACACAAGUGGCGAAGGCGACCACCUGGGCUCAUACUGACACUGAGGUGCGAAAGCGUGGGGAGCAAACAG
rnacentral:rRNA from 1 species